GACGAACGCUGGCGGCGUGCUUAACACAUGCAAGUCGAACGAGAAAGCACCUUCGGGUGUGAGUACAGUGGCGAACGGGUGAGUAACACGUGGGCAACCUGCCUCAAGGAUUGGGAUAACGUCGGGAAACCGACGCUAAUACCGAACGAUGUCGUCCGGCGCAAGCCGGCCGACCAAAGGGUAGCUUCGGCCUCCGCCUUGAGAUGGGCCCGCGUCCUAUCAGCUUGUUGGUGAGGUAAUGGCUCACCAAGGCUACGACGGGUAGCUGGUCUGAGAGGAUGAUCAGCCACACUGGGACUGAGAUACGGCCCAGACUCCUACGGGAGGCUG
rnacentral:rRNA from 1 species